UACAGAGGCCCCGAGCGUUAUGCGGAAUCACUGGGCUUAAAGCGUGUGUAGGCGGACUUCUAAGUACCUUGUGAAAUCCCACAGCUUAACUGUGGAACUGCUUGGUAUACUGGUUGUCUUGAGGUACCUAGGGGCGAGCGGAACAAGUGGUGGAGCGGUGAAAUGCGUAGAUAUCACUUGGAACGCCAACGGUGAAAACAGCUCGCUGGGGGUAUCCUGACGCUGAGACACGAAAGCCAGGGGAGCAAACGGG
rnacentral:rRNA from 1 species